rnacentral:rRNA from 1 species
UACGUAGGGUGCGAGCGUUAAUCGGAAUUACUGGGCGUAAAGCGUGCGCAGGCGGUCUGUUAAGACCGAUGUGAAAUCCCCGGGCUUAACCUGGGAACUGCAUUGUGACUGGCAGGCUUUGAGUGUGGCAGAGGGAGGUAGAAUUCCACGUGUAGCAGUGAAAUGCGUAGAGAUGUGGAGGAAUACCGAUGGCGAAGGCAGCCUCCUGGGCCAACACUGACGCUCAUGCACGAAAGCGUGGGGAGCAAACAGG